CUGUCUGUUAUCUCAGAUAGAUUAAAGCUUACUGUGAUGUGUUGUGAUUACUGAAGUAUUUUGGGGCCAGGGUAAAAGGCAUUUAAAGGGUGAAUAGUCACUUCUCUGAAAUGACAUCAUUGAAUAAAGCUUUGAACAUCACAUAUGACUUGUGUUAUAGCCUUUUUUUGUAUGACAUUCCAUUUUUUAAGUUGUAUUAAAGAUUUAGUAUAUGACCUCAUAACCCUCUACAGCCAGGGCACACAUUGCAAGUGGGGAGGGGGGAAAGAAUUUUUUUAUUUCUCAUUUUCUCUUUAUGCUCUCUUUGCUGCCUGCCAGGAGCAAAGGAAAGAGCUUAUACAAAUGAUUAACAGAGGGCUAACAUGUAGGAGACCAGCUGCAAGAUAAAGAAGUGCAAAUUUCAAUUGCACUUUUCACACCUCACAAAUAAAUGCAGAGAAUAAGUAAACAUAAUAUUUUUUUUAAAAAUGGGAAGUGACAGUUCCUCAUUAAUGCUUCACAUUGUGCAUGUGUCAAAAUAAUGUCUAAUCAUUUUUACUUACAAUUAAAACAAUCGAUACAUAUGUGAUAAUUUUUUCGUGAACUCUUUGAGGAAUAUCUUUAUUGGCUGACAAGGUAUAUGGAGAGAAACUGUGUACAUAGUACAUACAGGUGGGCAUAUUUUACACAAAAUGGAUUAAAAGCUUUGAAAACCCUUAGAUAUACU